rnacentral:rRNA from 1 species
AUUAGCUAGUUGGAGAGGUAACGGCUCACCAAGGCGAUGAUGGGUAGCCGGCCUGAGAGGGUGAACGGCCACACUGGGACUGAGACACGGCCCAGACCCCUACGGGAGGCAGCAGUAGGGAAUCUUCGGCAAUGGGGGCAACCCUGACCGAGCAACGCCGCGUGAGUGAAGAAGGUUUUCGGAUCGUAAAGCUCUGUUGUAAGUCAAGAACGAGUGUGAGAGUGGAAAGUUCACACUGUGACGGUAGCUUACCAGAAAGGGACGGCUAACUACGUGCCAGCAGCCGCGGUAAUACGUAGGUCCCGAGCGUUGUCCGGAUUUAUUGGGCGUAAAGCGAGCGCAGGCGGUUUGAUAAGUCUGAAGUUAAAGGCUGUGGCUCAACCAUAGUUCGCUUUGGAAACUGUCAAACUUGAGUGCAGAAGGGGAGAGUGGAAUUCCAUGUGUAGCGGUGAAAUGCGUAGAUAUAUGGAGGAACACCGGUGGCGAAAGCGGCUCUCUGGUCUGUAACUGACGCUG